CUUCAGUUAGUAAAUUUGACUCUUCACUGGCCAGUAAAAGAAAGAGAAUAAUAAUAAUGGAUGAUAAAGAAUCAGCUGCACCUAUCUCCUCCAUUAUAGCAAGAGAGCUUAUGGUAAUUAUAAUAAGAUUGAAAAUAGUGACAAUUUUUGGAAGUUUUGAAAGAAAUUUUUUGUAUUCCAUCUAUUGACAACCUUUUUGAAAAUGUGUACCAUUUUAUUAAGAAACAACACAUUGAACACUUUUAUGAAGCAUAUCAUUCUCAUACUGGCAAACACCAUCCACUGUCAGUAAGAGGUGAAAAGAGAGAAAGCAAGGAGCAAUCUAAUGAUGAACCAUUGAGAAAGAAACUCUAAAUCGAAGUUACUUCAUUAUAUCUAUUUAUAAAAUUUUAAUUAUGCAUACAUUUACGUUGCAUUCCAAUUAUGAAGGAUGUUAUGUAUAAUCAUUGUCAGAAACAAUAGUGCU